AGAUGGGACAUUUGGUUGGUAGAGAACGAUCUCUGUCAGGCAACUAUCCUCCAAACAUCUGUUUGAAUAUUUUCCAAUAAUAAUAUUGUUUCUAACUGAUUGAAUCACUAAAUUCAAUACUGAAUGACUUACUUUACUUGCCUCAACAGCAUGAUACCUUGGACUCAGAUCAACUUCCAGGAGAAGAUGGAAUAGUUUUCUUCUCUGAACCUCAAAGGCCCAAUUCCAGAGUAAUAUAAACCUAUCAACCAUCUCUAAGAUGUGGACCAAUGACUACCACCAGUAGCUGCUGCUAUCAAUACAUCAGAAAGCAAAAGACCCUGUUGGAAAUUCAUGAUCCAAUAGGGAAGAAAAGAGGGCAUUGAUUGCCCAAGCCUCACUUUGGGGUUUCCUGGUGCACAAGUUCUGUCCAGAGAACUAGGUCCCAAUCUGAACCUGGAAAGGCAACAAACUGACUGUAAUCUGGGAAGAGCCCUACCAAGUCCUGCUAACAGUCAACUGUGCUGAAGAAGGCUGGGUAAAAAGGACCCAUAAAACCACUGUCAUCAGGACGGCUAAGACAGUUACUGACCAGCUCCUGAAAGUAAUCAUAAAGAAGUAUUUUCUCACUUGACGGUACUGAACUAUUUCUAUAUGGAAGCAAAUUUAGGAGUCUUGGGAAUUGUUGUCUUGUUGAUUUUAAUUUGAUAUCUUGCUGCAAACUGUGGGUUAGGGGGACUGUUACCACUCUCUGAGGAGGUCCCCUUUUAGGUUUGACUUCCCUUUCAGUGCCUAACCACCAGGGACAUUUCUCCCAGAACUGAACCUAUAUAGUCAUCUACAAAGCUUUGUCUACUUUCUUUAAUUUCUAGUAGUAUUGUAGGCAGUAGCAGCAGAGAUCUUCUACUGCAGUUCCCUACGUUUCAUCCUUACUUGAACUAUCUCCAUUUGACUUGGGUCCCAAUAUGCAAAGGGUACUGACACUAGUGUCGGAAUGGAUAAUCAUAGUUUCAGGUAUAGUGAUAGCUAUAGACACAGACAUUGAUAACAGUCCUAGAGAUGAGACAUGGAGAAAAUCAAGUAGGCUAGACAAAGUAGCCACCAGCAGACCUAGAGCCCAUGUUGUCCCCUUUCCUUUGGGAUUGGAUGAAAAUGAGGCUGACUUCAAGUGUAUGGUUACCCUCUUUCGAGAGCUAAAUCCAGAGAAUUGCAGCUCACUAGCUACCUUGUACCCACCUACUAAGACAAGUGGCAUGAAAUGGGUGACUCUACCUAGAGGAGGAUUCUGGAACCACACUGCCUGCAUCUCACGAUAUGUGAGUGGGAGACCUGGUCCAAAACUGGAGUGUGCCCGAACCUGGAAUGUAACUGACCGGCCUGAGUUUACUAAUCUAAACAUUUCUCGAGCAGAUCUCUGGUGGUUCUGUGGGAAAAACAUACUCAGACAAGUUCUGAAUAACUGGUCUGCAACCUGUGCCUUAGUAAAAUUGGUAAUCCCACUCACAAUCAUAUAUCCAAGACAAACUACUCAUCUAGACCAGUCAAGGUAAAAGAGGAAUAAUCUCACUUCUCCUCAAGGCUCUUCUGAUCAAUCAGGAUACAUAGAUGGGAUAGGGAUGCCUAGAGGAGUCCCAGAGGAGUUUAAAGCUAGGAACCAGACAGCAACCACAUUUGAAUCCUUCUAUUGGUGGAUCAUCAUAAACAAGAAAGUAGACUGAAUCAAUUAUAUUUAUUAUAACCAACAGAGGAUAAAUUACACCCAAGACAAGGGCUUGUCUCAACAAUUAAAUGCUACCAGUUGAAUGUCAUGGAGAAACAGAUUACUUUUAAACAGGAUGUUUACUAAAGAGGGCAAUGUCUGUGGCAUGUUAGGGGAGAGAUGUUGCACCUACAUUCCUAAUAGCACUGCAUCAGAUGAGUAAGUAACCAAAACUGUCCAGGGACUAAUUACCCUUUCAGAAGAAUUAACCAGAAAUUCAGGAAUAGAUAUUGGCUCCUGGACCAGCUGAUUUGAUUCAGUUUUCUCAGGACCCUAGACAAGGUUUAUAUCAAUGAUAUUUGGCAUCCUGGGCAUUAUUGUGAUACUCCCCUGCUUAAUUACCUGUCUUAUAACUCUCAUUCAGAGGACUAUAGUCAGAAUUCCCCUGCCCAGACAUAAUUCCAAAGAUAAUGAUCCUAAGAAAAUAAAAAAGACAGGACUUAGAAGGAGUAAAUGAGGAAUACUUUGAUUUGGAAAAAGAAGCUGAAGCAAUCAUCCAACAAUAGAAGGAGAAAUCACUCAACUCGUAAAAAAAAACAAAAACAAAAACAAAAAAAAAAACAAACAAAAAAACAAAAAAACUAUGUGUUUUUCAAAGUAAAUAUUUAGGCAGAUACUCCCAAUAUCCUCCAGGUGAAAGCUGUGAAAGCUCCAGUUUAACACCUCAAUUAGCUCAAUUAGGAAAAGGAUGACUAAUCUAUUUGAAUUUCAAAGAUCUUUCACUGACUGUUAUCUAAAGACUCCAGGACAAGCCUGGAAAGAGAUUGAUAAAGGAGAAGAUCCCGGAUUUAAGGGCAAUGGACAACUCAUUUGUUCCCCUUAUCUCUUAAGAAUGUUAAAAUAACACUUUUUCUAUACCCUGAACCUGGUUAGAAAACAAGUGUUUUAGAUUGUAAGUCAAGGCUCAGUGAGGGGGACAAGGGAAGCUUUGAGAGGGUGAGGAAGGGUCUUGAUUUAAGGAAACUAUAUAUUGUCUGCUUGUACCUAGUCAAUUUGUGCUUCUAUAGCCCACUGAAGUGUUCCUUUCAUGAAAGAAAUAAACUACUGCCUCUUUUACUCUUA